rnacentral:rRNA from 1 species
UACGGAGGGUGCAAGCGUUGUCCGGAAUCACUGGGCGUAAAGGGCGCGUAGGCGGCUCAUGAAGGCUGUGGUGAAAGUCCGGGGCUCAACCUCGGAUCGGCCGUGGCGACUCGUGGGCUGGAGCACUGUAGAGGCGGGUGGAAUUCCGGGUGUAGCGGUGGAAUGCGUAGAGAUCCGGAAGAACACCUGUGGCGAAAGCGGCUCACUGGACCAUAACUGACGCUGAUGCACGAAAGCUAGGGGAGCAAACAGG